CCUACGGGUGGCAGCAGUGGGGAAUAUUGGACAAUGGGGGGAACCCUGAUCCAGCCAUGCCGCGUGUGUGAAGAAGGCCCUCGGGUUGUAAAGCACUUUCAGUGAGGAAGAACGCCUGGUGGUUAAUACCCAUCAGGAAAGACAUCACUCACAGAAGAAGCACCGGCUAACUCCGUGCCAGCAGCCGCGGUAAUACGGAGGGUGCGAGCGUUAAUCGGAAUUACUGGGCGUAAAGCGCGCGUAGGUGGCUUGAUAAGCCGGUUGUGAAAGCCCCGGGCUCAACCUGGGAACGGCAUCCGGAACUGUCAAGCUAGAGUGCAGGCGAGGAAGGUAGAAUUCCCGGUGUAGCGGUGAAAUGCGUAGAGAUCGGGAGGAAUACCAGUGGCGAAGGCGGCCUUCUGGACUGACACUGACACUGAGGUGCGAAAGCGUGGGUAGCAAACAGGAUUAGAUACCCUAGUAGUA
rnacentral:rRNA from 1 species